rnacentral:rRNA from 1 species
AGGUAGCAUAAUCAUUUGCCCUAUAAUUGAGGGCUAGUAUGAAUGGUUUGACAAGAGUAAUACUGUCUCUAUAAAAAUUUCCUGAAUUUAUUUUUUAGGUGAAGAAUCCUAAAUAAAAUUAAAAGACAAGAAGACCCUAUCGAGCUUAAAAUCUAUUUAUAAAAUAAGAAAAAUUAUAAAAUAUUUUUAGUUAUAAAAAAUUUUGGUUGGGGCGACUAAKGAACAAAUAAAGCUUCUUAUAAUUUUAAAAAUCUAUAAAUAAUGAUCCAUUUAUUUAAUGAUUAAAAGAAUUAGUUACCGUAGGGAUAACAGCAUAAUCCAUUUUGAGAGUUCAUAUCGAAAAWUGGGUUUGUGACCUCGAUGUUGGACUA